rnacentral:rRNA from 1 species
ACAUACAACCACAGCUCUUAGAAAACUCGGCAUCCCGUCCGCUCUGCCCUUUGAUAAACUGAGAAGCGCUGGAUUAGUACUCAGAUCGGUGACGGCUGGGGAAUCCCCGGUGUUGUAUGUU